rnacentral:rRNA from 1 species
CGUAGUACGUACGUAGGUAGUAGUUAGAUACGAGUGGACACGAGACGACGCUGGCGGGCGUGGAUUAGGCAUGCAAGUCGGACGGUAGGGCUUUAUCGUAAGAUAGAGUUUGAGAGUGGCGAACGGGUGAGUAACGCGUGGGUGACCUACCCUUGAGUUGGGGAUAGCCAUUAGAAAUAGUGGAUAAUACCGAAUACGAUCGCGACCCUGUGGGGAUGCGAUGAAAGGAGCUACGGCUCCGCUCGAGGAUGGGCCCGCGUCCCAUUAGCUAGUUGGUGAGGUAACGGCUCACCAAGGCGACGAUGGGUAGCCGGCCUGAGAGGGUGGACGGCCACACUGGGACUGAGACACGGCCCAGACUCCUACGGGAGGCAGCAGUAGGGAAUAUUGCGCAAUGGACGGAAGUCUGACGCAGCGACGCCGCGUGAGCGAUGAAGGCCUUCGGGUCGUAAAGCUCUGUCCUUGGGGAAGAAGGCGAAAGCUUGACGGUACCCAAGAAGAAAGCCCCGGCUAACUACGUG